rfam:Pteropus alecto contig102852, whole genome shotgun sequence.
GUCUACGGCAAUGCCACCCUGCACGUGCCCGAUCUCGUCUGAUCUCGGAAGCUAAGCAGGGUCGGGCCUGGUUAGUACUUGCUUGGGAGACCACCUGAGAAUACCAAGUGCUGGAGGCU